GAAACACACACACACUUCACGUUAACACCAUUUCUUUGGUGUUCAAGCUUUUGACUUCCGAUUUGAGCACCGAGAGGAACGCCGAUCAUCUUUUCGAUCACGUAUCUAAGUAGGUUGAGCUGAUGUGAUGAUGGUGUUGCAAUGAGCGGAGUCUCCAGGGUUGUUAAUAAAUAGUUAACCUGUCUAGAAUAUGUCUUCAUACAUAUGUCUAGCUACUUUCCGCUGCAAGAUGUUGUUGAUGUUAUAGUAUGUUAUGUCAUACUUUGAGUCUUAAGAGAAUGGUUUCAUAUGAUGUAUAACUUAAUUAAUGAUAUUAAUUAAGUUUUAUGUUGUCUUUCAUAGACUGUUCAAAAGAGUAUUAAUGAGUAAAUACGAUGAUUUUUCUUAA